GUCCUCACCCCCUGGGGGACAGGGGUUGUCGCCAAGGGCCAGAGCGGGAGCCCUCCGGAAGGAGCAGGACGGGCGCGGGGGAGGUGGGGCAGCGGGUCCAGAGCCCCUGCUGGUGGGCUAGGCCGCGGUCUGCGCGGUGGGCUCUGCGGAAAUCCAGAAUGACCUGGACGAAAAGCGUGACCUGCGGGACGGUGAGGAAGCCGGUGCUGCUUGCCCGACGAGGCGCUGACUCGGACUUCAUCAGAGUCUUCGCUUUGGUGCAGGAAGACGGAACAGCAGGGAGAGACCCGCAGGCCGCUGUCCAGCUGUAGAGAGACUCGAGACCUGCUGGCCGCGUUCUGAAAACGCAACACCACGUCCCUCCGGGGCCGACCGGGAGGUACGAAUCACAGUUGAUUACUGUCGCUCCUUGUUAACCACAUUUAAUAACAACACGUUAUUUCAAAGCUACGAAAUAGAAAAUUUAAAAUAUGCUCGCUGUCAAAAAGAUGCGAAGUGAUGGACAUGUUAAUUAGCUUAAUAUAAUUAUUCCAUGAUGUGCACAAAUCCCAACAUCACAUUGGUGCCCACAAAAUAUAUGACUCUUACAUUCAAUUAAAAAUUUAAAUUUACAUGAUCUCUUAGAAAAAAAAAUCCCCCAAAGCAUCAAUGAGAAGUCCCUGCCCUGGCCGGCUGAAAGUGCUGGGUCUUGCGGUCAUUUCAAGGCGGUGCCCCAACGGCCCCUGCAGGGGCAUUUUCUGCUGGGCGCCCCUCACCACCAGGGGGCGUGUUCUGUCAUUUUCAGUUCCCCUGGUCGGAAGGUGUUUUGGAUGUAGAUACUUCCAGGACCCUUUCAUGGGGCAAAGAGAAGGGCCAUAUUUUAGUGUAUUCUGCAGACCCCUUAGCAGAGUCUGCUCAUGGGGGCUAUUGUCCCUAUUGUCACCUGGCAGCUGGAGUCCUGUGGGCGCCCCACACGCAGAUGGCCUUUAUGGCUCAGUGCUCCUGCCAUUGUGGUUCCAGAACCAGUAGGAACAUUGACUGCGGAGACUCACAGUCAGCCCAGCACCACACAGCCAGGACCCCAGUUCCAGCUCAGGCUCCCAGUGCAAUGGGCUGCCCAAAGGGAGGCUCCCUCUAUGGGGGGGGAGAGGACAGAAGAGCUGGCCUCUGAGCCUCACUAGGAAGGAUGACCAGGAGAUGGGGAAAGAAUUCAGGGCUUCAGAGACCACCUGGGCAGCUAUUUCUGGGACCAAGAAGAAGUAUGACCAGUGGCCAGAGAGGUAAGGUGGGUGCACAGAAAAGGCGUUUAAGACAGACUCAAAGUCAAAAAGGGCCUUUCACAGUGGCCACGCCUGUAAUCCCAGAGGCUUGGGAGGCUGAGGCAGGAGGAUCACAAGUUCAAAGUCAGCCUCAGCAACUUUAGCAAGACCCUGUUCAGAAAUAGAAUAUAAAAAGGGCUGGGGAUGUGGUUCAGUGGUUAAGUGCCCCUGGUUUCAAUCUCUGGUACCAAAAAAAAAAAAAAAAAUCAAUAAGUAUGGUGAGUCUAUGUUUCAAAUAUAUAAUAAUGACAAAUAAAACUCAAAAGAAAACGACCAACAGGGUCUAGCCAUGAUAAGUAAGUGAAAUCUCUGUGGCGCAGAAGCCAGCAGCAGUGGGAGAGGAGUUGCUGGGGCCUGCACUGUGCCCAGAGGGCACCAGGGAGACAUGUCCUCUCUGUAGGGUGGUUGGAAGUGAAGGGCCCCCUGCACAAGGCCCCACAGAGAGCGCCGUGGCUUGCAUCUGGAGCCCCAGAAGCUGCCGUGAUAGUGGGGCAGCCAUGCUUGGAGAAGGGGAGGCUGGACAUCCUCAGUGGAUCAGCCCAUCUGACGCAUUCCUAAUCUGAAUGGGUGGACAGCUGGUGGCACUAGGUGGAUGGGUGUGUCACAGGGAUGUGGUCUUGGGAACCCUGUCCCACCCAGGUCCUUCCCAUCUCUCUCUCUGCUGCCUGGCCUUCCUGAGCAAGCAGCCUGCCCCACCAUGUCCUCUGCCAUGUUCUGCAGGGGAGUCCACCAACCAUGGACUGAACCUCUGAAACCGUGAGCCAAAAUAAAUCUUUCCUCCUCUAAGUUGCUCUUGCCAAAUAUUUUGGUCACAGCAAUGAAAGGCUAACUGAGAGUGCUCUUAGCAACGGCAGUGAAGGGGCAUGCACCCCUGGGACCCUAGCUCCAUUCCAAGGACAUCGCUGGAGAAAUCUCACUCAUGAGCUGGACAGGAAUGUACAUCUCAGCUUUGAUCACACAAGUGCCAACUGCAGACAACCUAAAAGGUCAGCAGGGAAAGGGUGAAAUAAAUUGUGCUACACUCACACAAUGGAACAUUCUCUGUGGUGAACAGGGUGAUCUACAGCCCCGCGAAGCCACAUGCAGAGAUCUGGAUAAAGCCUGACAUGGUCAUGCCUGGCUUCUGUGGCAGGAAGCGGGUGUGGGGGACUGGAUAUUAGCAGGACCUCAGAAACAUGCCCAGACAGGUCAACCUGAAGGCGCUGUGCAUCAGGAAGGUGACUUAGCAGUUGCUAAGUCACAUACCCCAAGUCAGGUAAGAGCCUUAUCCUCGUACCCUCCUCCUUAAAAUUCCCUUUGCCUUUCUCCUACCCGGGGGUAGGUCUGGAGCUCCUCAGCCCUGUGUUCAGUUGUCUAGCUGCUAGCAAAAAUCAGACAGUGAGUAUUACCGGAGUCCUAGGCCAGAGGCCUGGCCUGGGGGACCCAACAAAUCAGGUCUGACCAUCACCCCCAAAACGAAACAGAGGGUCCUGGUGAAGCCUAAAGGAACUUCAGUCAGUGCCGUUGCCCUGACUGAAGACCAGGGGGGUUGGGGGGACUCUGAGGUUUUAGAGAGGGGAUGGGGCUAGGGUGGGGUUUGCUCAGCUGGAGGACUCUCACUGCUGCCCACCACAGAUCUAAUCCCAUCUGAGCACCCAGGCAGGGCCUGUCCAGGACCAGAAGCUGCUGCUGCUGCCCAAGUUGGGGGGCUCUCUGGAAUCCAAGGGGACCCAGAGCCCAAGAGCUGGAUGCAAAAUGGAGGCAGAGCCGCCAGGACUCUAGUUCUGCUCUUAGCUCCCUGAGGACAGCUGCAGGGCAGGCCGACAGGAGGAGUCCAGUCUUGUCGCAGGCGCUUCAGGGCAGGAAUUUCAGGAAGACAGAGAGGACACAUCUCCUUUCCAGUGGCUGCCAAGGGGAGCAGUAUGAUGGGCUCAAAAAUCUCAUCUGAGCACAGUGCGGACUUUCGCAAGAAUGCUCCACCCCUGAGCCACUGGCCAGUACCACAGUGGACCCGAGAGCCUCAGGCCUAGACCGGCAAAGACCAAUGUACCCACCCUGCAGGGCCAGGGAUCCCCGCAUGGGCUGCAGCUGGUGCUCCUCCCUGCUGCUGCCUGAGGAGCAAUUCAGCCCGCUGCGGGCUCAUGGCCCAGGGGUUUUGGCUGCCAGGGGCCCGACCUCCCCAGUCCGGCCCAGUGUUCUCCCUUCUGUAUUCAUAAACCUGCAAGUCUUUUUAUUUAUCUUUAAAUUUUGCGACAGGGCCUUGCUAGGUUGCUGAGGCUGGCCUUGAACUUUCCAGCCUCCUGCCUCCCCAGGCAGGCUGAGUUGUGGAAUUGAAGCAUUCAUGAAUGUCCUGUCCAGAAUGGAGUCUCCUUCUGGGAUUUGUGGAAAUAGGAGACUGACACAUACCAUUUUGCAGUGGAUCUAAAAUGUGUGCUGCAUGAAAGAGCUAGACACCCAGGAUUUAUCAUGUAAGGCUCCAGAAGAGCGGAAUCAACAGUGAUAAGAAGGAGUCAGUGGUUGCCCAGGUCAACAGUGGGAGGCAAAUGGACUGGGAAGUGCCAGGAGAGAACUGGACUGUGAGCCUGGAGUGGACAGUGGGUGCUCAGGUGUGCACAUUUACCAAGUCACCUUGGUACCUUAGGAUGAGUGCAUUUUACAUAUGUAAACUAGACCUCCAUCAAAUUUAUCUUAAACAAUAAAAAGCCCUUGGGAGUAUUUCUACAAAGAGGAGAAGAUCUUUUAAGACAGACUUUAGAAGUUAUUCUUAGAUCUUGUAAAAAUAACCUUUAAUAUCUAAAGUUUCUGUUAUUCUAAUUGCUUGUUGUACUCGAUAAUUAUUGUCCAGGUAUCAAUGUUAAAAUACCAAUUGACAUCAUCCUGCACCAGCCUACGGCAAACACAGCAAUUUGGGAAGCUGAAGCAGGAGGAUUUCAAGUUUGAGAAGAGCUGCCCCAAUUUGGUGAGCCCUGUUUAAAAAAAAAAAUUAAAAAGGGUUGAGGGUGUAACACAACAUAGAGCUUCCCUACGUUCAAUCCCUUGUAUGAAAAUAAUAAUAAUAAUAAGUAAAACAAGCAAACAAAAAAACACUGUCCAC
rnacentral:lncRNA from 1 species